rnacentral:tRNA from 1 species
AGGAUAAUAAUUAAAACAAAUAAUAUUUAUUUUGCAAAUAAACAUUAAUAGAAAUAUUUUAUCUUA